rnacentral:rRNA from 1 species
GGGUUGUGAGGUUAAGCGACUAAGCGUACACGGUGGAUGCCCUGGCAGUCAGAGGCGAUGAAGGACGUGCUAAUCUGCGAUAAGCGCCGGUAAGGUGAUAUGAACCGUUAUAACCGGCGAUUUCCGAAUGGGGAAACCCAGUGUGAUUCGUCACACUAUCAUUAACUGAAUCCAUAGGUUAAUGAGGCGAACCGGGGGAACUGAAACAUCUAAGUACCCCGAGGAAAAGAAAUCAACCGAGAUUCCCCCAGUAGCGGCGAGCGAACGGGGAGGAGCCCAGAGCCUGAAUCAGUGUGUGUGUUAGUGGAAGCGUCUGGAAAGGCGCGCGAUACAGGGUGACAGCCCCGUACACAAAAAUGCACAUAUUGUGAGCUCGAUGAGUAGGGCGGGACACGUGGUAUCCUGUCUGAAUAUGGGGGGACCAUCCUCCAAGGCUAAAUACUCCUGACUGACCGAUAGUGAACCAGUACCGUGAGGGAAAGGCGAAAAGAACCCCGGCGAGGGGAGUGAAAAAGAACCUGAAACCGUGUACGUACAAGCAGUGGGAGCCUCUUUUAUGGGGUGACUGCGUACCUUUUGUAUAAUGGGUCAGCGACUUAUAUUCUGUAGCAAGGUUAACCGAAUAGGGGAGCCGAAGGGAAACCGAGUCUUAACUGGGCGUUAAGUUGCAGGGUAUAGACCCGAAACCCGGUGAUCUAGCCAUGGGCAGGUUGAAGGUUGGGUAACACUAACUGGAGGACCGAACCGACUAAUGUUGAAAAAUUAGCGGAUGACUUGUGGCUGGGGGUGAAAGGCCAAUCAAACCGGGAGAUAGCUGGUUCUCCCCGAAAGCUAUUUAGGUAGCGCCUCGUGAAUUCAUCUCCGGGGGUAGAGCACUGUUUCGGCAAGGGGGUUAUCCCGACUUACCAACCCGAUGCAAACUGCGAAUACCGGAGAAUGUUAUCACGGGAGACACACGGCGGGUGCUAACGUCCGUCGUGAAGAGGGAAACAACCCAGACCGCCAGCUAAGGUCCCAAAGUCAUGGUUAAGUGGGAAACGAUGUGGGAAGGCCCAGACAGCCAGGAUGUUGGCUUAGAAGCAGCCAUCAUUUAAAGAAAGCGUAAUAGCUCACUGGUCGAGUCGGCCUGCGCGGAAGAUGUAACGGGGCUAAACCAUGCACCGAAGCUGCGGCAGCGACGCUUAUG